AGUCAUCAACCCCCCGUUUUGCGCGGAGAGGUCGGUUGGACCUGGGGGCUUGCUGCCGUUGGGCGGCUCCCUCAAACGAGUCGGUUGGGCCUGCGGGUCGAACUCGGUUGGGCGUUGUACCAUCCUCGCUCUGGUCCGAGAUGUUCCCCAUCUGUCGAGCCCUUCCAAGACUGCCGUGGAGUGGUGGUCAAGCUGAAACUUUGAAAU
rnacentral:misc_RNA from 1 species